GUUGGUGGUGGAGAGGGAGUGAGGAGGUUAGUGAAAGAAGAGGAAGAGAAGAGAGAAAAUUGUUUCUAGGCGUAUACUUCAAAUAGUUCACAAAUCAAGAAUCGCUUUGAUUUUCAUGUUAAAAAAUUUUCCUCGUAUUUGCUACAGGACGGAAGGUUCGCUAGAACGAAGUACAGUUUCACCCAGUUCGAGGAUCACGUUGACCGACAUAUCCGAUCGCAUGGUACUGUAAUGGCUCGAACGUGCGGCUUGCCGAGAGGGAGGCUACUCCGUUCUAUCAUCUUUAUGGUAUUCCUUGACCGUGCUCUCUCGUCUCUUUUUCUCUCUCUCUCUCUCUCUCUCUCUCUCUAUCAGUCUUUCUCGCUCGUUUCGUCUGGUACUCUUCGCAAACUCGAUGACCGAACGAUUCGUAUAUACUGUUGAGUGCAUCUUACCAUUCUUCUCUAUUUUCUUUUGCUUUUGUUCUUUUUUCCCUUUCCUUCUUUAUUCUUUUCUGUCUCUCUCUCUCUCUCUCUCUCUCUCCCUCUCUCUCUCUCUCUAUGGAACAUAGCACGAUCACUCUUGCGUUGAUCCAGUCUAUUUCUGUUAUUCUUUCCUUUAAAGAAAACGUAUAUAGUGAUGUAUAAGUGUACCUUAACCAUAUAUGCAUCUAAAUGUCUUAUUUUAUAUUUAUGUUAUGUUUACCCACAUAUUUUAACAUGAUUUUUACAUGUCGAUAUGUAUAUACGUACAUGUGUAUAUACGAACGAACGAAUAUUAUUGACAGAUCGUUUGGAUUCGAUCGAUAAGCAAAAUUCAACGUGAAUAGAUACGAAUCGAUUAGAUCGAUAAAAGAAUAUCGUGAUUAAUUGUUGUUCAACAAAUGUGUAUCCCGAUAAAAUUAAAACGAUCGGAUUUAUUAUUUCUUCUUAUUAUUACUUAGAAAUUCUCAUCGUUACGUUCCAAUUGUAUAAUAUAUUUGCUUAUCGAGUCGUAUGAUUUCGAUCAAUAUCGAAUAGUUUAUCGAUAUUUAAUUGAUAUCUUAAUAGCUAAUCCAUACGCUCAAGAACAUAUUUAUUCAGAUAUAUCUUAUUUAUAUUUAUAUUAAUUAUUUAAAAUUCUAUUAAACGAAUAUUGCGCUAACUAUUUAAACUAAUAAUCGAAUUGUCUGGUUCAGCAUUUGCCCAGAAUAAUAAUAUUAUCUAAAUAAGUCUAACGAAUGGAAUUAUUAUGAAAAUUAACAUUGUUUUAUUACUUUCACUUUAUCAUUUGCAUAUUGUAUUUUGUUAUUUGUAUUUGUAUUUUUAUUUUCUUUCAUUGUCUUGUAUUUCAUUUUUUUACACGAUUAAAAUUGAAGGAUAAAAUGUU